AAUUCUCAAUCUCUCAUCCUUUGUGAUGGGUUGGUUGGAUCAUGGGUGCUUGCUGGCCUUGUCAGCUCACCUGAAAUGAAUUUGCGAUGUUGUGUCCUUGUGAGUUGGCCCGACUAGGCGUGAUGGUGAUAACGUUCGUCUAGGAUCCUCGCUUCGGCGAGGAGCCGCUCCUGUUGGGCUUUGUCGUUGCACUCUUUUUUACAUCUUUGG
rnacentral:misc_RNA from 1 species